UACGUAGGGUGCGAGCGUUGUCCGGAAUUAUUGGGCGUAAAGGGCUCGUAGGCGGUUUGUCGCGUCGGGAGUGAAAUCCACUGGCUUAACUGGUGGCUUGCUUUCGAUACGGGCAGACUGGAGGUAUGCAGGGGAGAACGGAAUUCCUGGUGUAGCGGUGAAAUGCGCAGAUAUCAGGAGGAACACCGGUGGCGAAGGCGGGUCUCCUGGGCCGAUACUGACGCUGAGGAGCGAAAGCGUGGGGAGCGAACAGGAUUAGAACCUUCGGUAGUC
rnacentral:rRNA from 1 species